rnacentral:tRNA from 1 species
GGUGGCUCAGUGGUAGAGCGCUUGCCUUACAUGCUGGAGGCCCUGGGUUCGAUUCCUCAGCACCA